rnacentral:rRNA from 1 species
CCUACGGUGUGCAGCAGUGGGGAAUAUUGGGCAAUGGGCGCAAGCCUGAACCAGCAACGCCGCGUGAAGGAAGAAGGCUUUCGGGUUGUAAACUUCUUUUAUGCGGGACGUAACAAAUGACGGUACCUCAUGAAUCAGCCACGGCUAACUACGUGCCAGCAGCCGCGGUAAUACGUAGGUGGCAAGCGUUCUCCGGAUUUACUGGGUGUAAAGGUCGUGUAGGCGGGACUGCAAGUCAGAUGUGAAAAUUAUGGGCUCAACACAUAAGCUGCAUUUGAAACUGUAGUUCUUGAGUGAUGGUGAGGCAGGCGGAAUUCCGGGUGUAGCGGUGAAAUGCGUAGAUAUACGGAGGAACACCAGUGGCGAAGGCAGCCUGCUAGACAAUAACUGACGCUGAGGCGCGAAAGCGUGGGGAGCAAACAGGAUUAGAUACCCUAGUAGUC